CCGGAUUUCGUUAAACAAGCCAUCUAUGUCCCAAAGUUGAGGACCGUUUGGAGAAGAGGCCACCCAGGUAAGCUUAUCCAAGCUCAAACAUUAAUUUAAUCACUAUUUAGUUGUCGUAUUUGCGUUCCUAGAUGGAUCUUUUGAGAUUCCACAACUUUGAUAUUCUUACUUGGGAUCAUUUGAUAUGUGCCAUUGAAAAUAACAGAACAGAUCAUUCUUAGAUGAAUUCUUAGCUGAUUUCAUUGGGCUUCUCCCUUUACGCCAAUAUGAAAUAUAUUAGCUGCAGUAUAUAGUCUAGGUUCAUUUUAAUGCGACUAAAUGAGAUAAAAAUACUACUUGCUUAUACCACUCGAGUAUCCACCGUUAGGACGUUAUGUUCCCUGCGACCACAACAUAACCUUUUUGACUUAUUAUCCCUAAAAAAAGCUGUCUCUUUUUCACAAGCUGAAAAGACAAUCUGAUCUGCUACAUUUGGUCUGAAAUUUUCUUCUUGUGUGUCCACAUGAUAAAGAGGAUGCCUUUGAUCAAUUGUAAAUCACUUAUUUUUCUAGGAUAUAUAGAUAUCUUGAAUUACCCACAAUAUACUUUUAUGUCAUCUAAUAUAUGUCUCCCAGACAAUUUAAACAGAUGCAGGAUAUGAUUAGGCGCACAUAUACAAGUAUCUUUAUGACGACACUUGCACCAGUUUUCAUCGUUGUUGUUCUUGCCUGUUGCCUCCCCCCCUAUCGCUUCGCUAGGUGAGAGACCCCUCUCCUUUCCUUCCAAUUUGUUGGGUUUUGCUUUGUGCCAUCAUUUGAGUGGUCAACAGGCGCAGAAAGAAAGGAAGGACAGAGUACUUCUCUCCUUAGUUAGUUUUAUAUUUAUUUGUCUGAAUUUUAGUUUAAAUAACAUGACACCCAAUGGCAUACAUGAUAAUUUCAACUGUUUUGGGGGGCAAAUGACAAUUAUAGUAAAUUAAAAUGACCCCAUUAGUCAUAUCUAUUAUCUCUUUAUGGGUUUAUCUUUCUACGUACUGCCACAAAAAUAUUAAUUGUUUUGCAUAUAUUGGUUGAGUUUAAUUCAGCUUUAGGAAUCAGGACAUGUGAUAGAUGGUGUGCGCAUUUGAUUUCAGAAUUUUGUUAGCGCAACAUGCAUGAUAUUCAUGCAUUACCUACAUGUAUGUUAGUCCCAAAAUGACUUUUCAAACUAUAGAUGGUACCACUGAAAUAUUUUGAACCACAUUCAAAUUUCUCAUUUGCUUCUUUGUUUACAUGACCCACAAUGCACUUGGUUUGUUUUUAUUCAACAGCACUAGAAUCAUGUAUAAAACCAAGAGUUAACUACACUAUAAUGCUAUUUUGGUUUAUAUAGGAGAGCAGCAGCUUGCAUUGCGAGAGGCUUAGGCGAAGGAAUAUACUAUGGUCUAUGGAUCAGUCUGGGAACAAGAAUAACUAUUGAAAUUGUUAGUGUGGACAUUGUCCAUAGCGAGGUAGCGAGCUAGCUAAUAUUAGCCGAAUAGUGGACUGGGUGUUGAAUAGUUGUUAUAAGAAGAAUUAAAGGAGAUGGAUUGUGAAAUGUCCGUGCUAAGAGAUGGAGGGCAAAAUACCGACGUCUCUUAGGUUAUUAUACUCCUUAAUUGAGUUGUGAACACAUCAACUAUUUCAACAUCAUCUUUACUUGAUUUGUAGUAGCAUAUCCCUGCUAUAAUAUUGUGAUAUAGUCUGUUCUGACUAUCACGCUUCUUAACUUCCAAUAUAUUAAUCCAACAAUUAC
rnacentral:lncRNA from 1 species